rnacentral:rRNA from 1 species
GACGAACGCUGGCGGCGUGCCUAAUACAUGCAAGUCGAACGGUUUAGUUCCAAGAGGCAAGACUCUUGGAACUAAGCAGUGGCGGACGGGUGAGUAACACGUAGGCAACCUACCUGUCAAACCGGGAUAACCUCGGGAAACCGAAGCUAAACCCGGAUAAGCUCCUUUUUCGCAUGAAGGGGGAGUGAAAAGGUGCGACCUGAUGACAGAUGGGCCUGCGGCGCAUUAGCUAGUAGGUAGGGUAACGGCCUACCUAGGCGAUGAUGCGUAGCCGACCUGAGAGGGCGUACGGCCACACUGGGACUGGGAUACGGCCCAGACUCCUACGGGAGGCAGCAGUAGGGAAUCUUCGGCAAUGGGCGAAAGCCUGACCGAGCAACGCCGCGUGAGUGAGGAAGGCCUUCGGGUUGUAAAACUCUGUUGUUUGGGAAGAAGGGAAAGGGUAGGACCCUUAGGUGACGGUACCAAACGAGAAAGCCCUGGCUAACUACGUG